rnacentral:rRNA from 1 species
UACGUAGGGGGCUAGCGUUGUCCGGAAUCAUUGGGCGUAAAGAGCGUGUAGGCGGCCCGGUAAGUCCGCUGUGAAAGUCGGGGGCUCAACCCUCGGAUGCCGGUGGAUACUGUCGGGCUCGAGUACGGAAGAGGCGAGUGGAAUUCCUGGUGUAGCGGUGAAAUGCGCAGAUAUCAGGAGGAACACCUAUUGCGAAGGCAGCUCGCUGGGACGUAACUGACGCUGAGACGCGAAAGCGUGGGGAGCAAACAGG